GAAGAUGGCAUAUGUGGAGCGUGCAACAUGCAACAAACUGUGAAACACCUACUCAUGAAAUGCAAAUGUUACAUGGAAGAAAAACAAAGGCUAUAUGUUGCAGUAUCGCGCCUGGUCAUAAAGAUACAUUUGUAGAAAUAGUCACUGCUACAAUCUGAUCUCAACCUGUGAGAGGCAGCAACGUGCCGCGAGGCAUCUAGUCUACCGAAAACUGAAGGAGAGGGAAAGGGGACUGGAUGACAUGAGGUGAUCGUCCACCACGGGGAAAAUGCCAAGAUUCAUGUGGUUAGUUUGCGUCGUUUACGGUUGCUAAAAUCGGUCAAACUGAGAAGCCAGGAGUAUUUUUUAUCAAGUCCUGGCCAAAGUCGUUGUUUUUAAGUGGGGAAAUGCAAGAAAUUGAGCGAAAAACGCCGAGGAAAAUGACUGGCGGCCGAACACCUGUGGCUGGGAGGAGCGAAGUCAGUGUGUACAGUGACCACCUCAUUGAAGACUGAACUCCCACAGUUAACCUUGGUGAUGCCCAUGCCUGAGAGGUGAGAGUCAAGUCCACGGACAACAAAGACUCACAGAUGGUGCAGAGGUCUUGCUGGAAUUGACAAGUGCCCACACUGCAAAGCAAGAUGAGGUUGAUCUGUGCCUGUGUGCUGGAGACAAGGGAUUCUGCCUUAUCAACAAUGGAGAUGAUGUUAUACAGGAGCUGCUACUUCCAAGUCCAGGAGUCAAACUUCAGUGAAAUCACAGAAAGGAGAGACAGACAUGAAGAUUUACGCAAGAUCCAGAACUUCAGCAGGCACCGCCUCCUCUUCCUGCAGAGACAAAACACAUAAGUCAGUACAGUCACAGUAGUCACCCUGUGAAACUUUAAAUAAUUUAUUAUUCUAACUCUAGUUAUCACAGGAAAACAGUCUAUUUAAUUGUGUCUGCCUUAUUAUUACACUUAAAGUCAAUUAUUAUGCUCUACUGUAAAUAAAUAAUAAAAUUAUAGUCCUACCUUCACCCUGGGUAAAUCCAGUUGUUCCCAUGAAUUCAUCUGAAAAACACAGAGCAUGUAUUUAAUAACUACUUCCAACAAAGCAUAGCUUGUCAUUACAUACAGACAUUCUUAUCCUGGAAAAAUAUAUUAUUGUACUCUAAUUUUAGCUGAUGUUUAAAUUCUUCCUUCACUUUCUACUGUACAUGGACUAUGUAAAUAAGCAUUAUUAAUGAGAUAAGUGUUAUUUUGACAAAUUAUAAAUUAUUCAGACUUAUGUUCAAAUCAAUUACUGAACAUGCACAACUUAAAUGUCACUGCUCUCUGUUGGACAGUUCAUGUAAUGGUGUCUUGUAAAUUACCUCUUUGUUGUGAUCUUCUGCUCAGAGAACUUCUUUAUUGUACAAGGACUGCAAUUGUGGACUGCUGACACCUGAAAUCAAUAAAACAAAUAUACAAAGGAAAAUUAGUAUGUGAUCACACUGAAGCAAUCAUGUAUAUUACUGUGAACUGCAUAAUGAACAUUUACAUAAAAUUUUGAAUGCCAGACUAACAUGUGGUAUUGCUAAUUAUACUUAAGGUCUGAGUACACAUAUGUGCACGAUGGAAUUACUUUAAGGUACUGUCUUUGUUUUGUAAACUAAUAAACAUUGUGUUUGUCCAAAUAUUCUAUUCUAUUAAAUAUUUAACAACUGUUUGAUGAACUGGU